rnacentral:snRNA from 1 species
AGCUUUGUGCAGUGGCAGUACGGUAGUCAGUGAGGUCAAUCUGAGGCAUGGUUAUUGCUAAUUGAAAUCUUUUAUCUCU